AUUAUUAAUAUUAAUUUUUCUCGAAUUAAAAAGUUCUAAUUAAAUAUUAUAUAAUUGUUUCAUAAAUUUUUAUAAUUUUUAAUUAGUAAUGAAAUGUUAUUCGUUUUUUAAUAUAUCUAGUUUUUUAAGAAAAGAAUUUAAUUCUUUUAUUAUUUAUUUAUUAAUUAAUUUUUAGUUAAUAAUUUUUAAUAAAAAAUAUCUAAAGGGAUGAUCUUUUAUUUAUAAUAUUAAAAAUUUAGUUUAUUUUAUAAUUAUUGUAUAAUUUGAAUUGUUAAUCAUAUAAAUAAUUUAAUAAUUAAUUUUAUUUAUUUUAAUAUUUGUAUUUAUUUUAAUUUUUAUAUUAAAAAAAAAAGUUUAAUUUUAUUUCUUUUGUUAUAAUGAUUAAAUUAGUAGAUUAUUUUGUAUUAAAAGUUUAUUUUAAAUAAGGUAAUUAAAAGGAACUCGGCAAAUUAAUUUUUCGCCUGUUUAUUAAAAACAUGUCUUUUUGAUUAUAAUUUAAGGUUUAAUCUGCUCAAUGAUUAUUUAAAUUGCUGCAGUAUUUUGACUGUGCAAAGGUAGCAUAAUAAUUAGUUUCUUUAUUAGGAACUGGAAUGAAUGAUUGGACGAGAAAAUUUCUGUCUCUUUAUUAUUUAAAUUGAAUUUUACUUUUAAGUUAAAAGGCUUAAAUUUUUUUAGAGGACGAGAAGACCCUAUAGAGUUUAAUUUUUAUUUGAUUAAUUAUUAUUAGUAUUUAUAUUUAUUAUUUAAAUAAAAAUUUAGUUGGGGUGACUUAAAGAUAUGAAUAACUCUUUUAAAUUUUUAUCAAUUAUUUUUGACUAUAAAAUCUUUGUUUUUAAUUUUAAAAUAAAUUACCUUAGGGAUAACAGCGUAAUUCUUUUUAAAAGUUCAUAUUGAA
rnacentral:rRNA from 1 species